AUUUGUAUUGUAUAUAGUGGAGGGAAUGAUUUAGAUUGAUAUAAGUAAGAAUUUAGAGAGAUUAUAACAAAUUAUCAACAAACGAUUCAUUUGCUUAAUGAUUUAACUCAUAAAUAUGUAUUGGUGGAAAUAUAAUGGUGUGUGAGUUUGAUUUGCGAGUGUUUGAUUGGUUACAAUUAUGUGUGUGUUUCUGCAUGUAUUGUGUUGUGUGUCUGCAUAAGAAACAUAUAGAAUUAAAGAAACAUUGAGAAGUAGAGAAAUAUAGAGAAUCUUAGUCAGAGACUUUCACACCUAGACAAUUGUUUGGUCAGUGAUGGGUUAGUCAUCGUCAAAGGUGGACAGGUUGGUACUGGAUUGCAUAUCAUUUAACUUUCAAUGUCUUCUUCAUCCCUUCAAACCUUUUCUUCAUCACUAUCCUUAAUGUACUCAUAUCAAUACGAACGCACUUUGCCCAAUGAGGAGAAUGCACAACCACCUAAAUUAUACACAUAAAUAAUAAAUUUAACACUACUUAUAUUAUAAGAAUAGUAAAGUUAUUUUGACGCAGUGACAUAAAAAUAGAUUUACCUGAUUACGUCGACCUCAUCCACAAAAAGUCCAUUGUAUAUACUCUAUCGUUCUCGUUGACAAAUUCACUCCAAUCCUACAAAGAAUGAACCUCAUUGUAAAAUUAAAAGUUGAAAUAUUGAAAAGAUUACAUAAUUCAGCAGAAAUAAACUUGUUUAAACUAUACCAUUUACUUGUCGUAAGAAUAUUAUAAUAAAACUUCUGGGUAAACAAUAUUUGUGGUGCAAUUUAACCCAUCUUCCAGAAGGAGGACGGACAGUAAUACGAUCCGAAGAUGUGCAUCUAGAUAGUGCCACAUAAAGGUGUUCAUGACUAAAAAUAGGUGUCCGCAAAUCAAUCCCAAUGAACUUGAC
rnacentral:lncRNA from 1 species